UUAAUUGAAGAGUUUGAUCAUGGCUCAGAUUGAACGCUGGCGGCAGGCCUAACACAUGCAAGUCGAGCGGCAGCACAGAGGAACUUGUUCCUUGGGUGGCGAGCGGCGGACGGGUGAGUAAUGCCUGGGAAAUUGCCCGGUAGAGGGGGGAUAACCAUUGGAAACGAUGGCUAAUACCGCAUAACCUCGCAAGAGCAAAGCAGGGGACCUUCGGGCCUUGCGCUACCGGAUAUGCCCAGGUGGGAUUAGCUAGUUGGUGAGGUAAGGGCUCACCAAGGC
rnacentral:rRNA from 2 species